AAGAGCCGUGUGAAAUGAGAGCUUCACGCACGGUUCUGUGAGAGCCUUGCGGUGAAACUCCGCUCGGC
rnacentral:ncRNA from 1 species